rnacentral:rRNA from 1 species
UACAGAGGGUGCAAGCGUUGUUCGGAAUUAUUGGGCGUAAAGCGCGUGUAGGCGGCUUUGCAAGUCGGGUGUGAGAGCCCUCAGCUUAACUGAGGAAGUGCGCCCGAAACUGCUUGGCUUGAGUACCGGAGAGGAUGGCGGAAUUCCCCAAGUAGAGGUGAAAUUCGUAGAUAUGGGGAGGAACACCGGUGGCGAAGGCGGCCAUCUGGACGGAUACUGACGCUGAGACGCGAAAGCGUGGGUAGCAAACAGG